GACGUAGGGCGCGAGCGUUGUCCGGAUUUCUUGGGCGUAAAGAGCUCGUAGGCGGCUUGUCGCGUCGUUCGUGAAAACCCGGGGCUCAACUCCGGGCUUGCGGGCGAUACGGGCAGGCUAGAGUUCGGUAGGGGAGACUGGAAUUCCUGGUGUAGCGGUGAAAUGCGCAGAUAUCAGGAGGAACACCGGUGGCGAAGGCGGGUCUCUGGGCCGAUACUGACGCUGAGGAGCGAAAGCGUGGGGAGCGAACAGG
rnacentral:rRNA from 1 species